CCCUUAGAUGUUCUGGGCCGCACGCGCGCUACACUGAUGCAUUCAACAAGCCUAGCCUUGACCGAGAGGUCCGGGUAAUCUUUGAAACUGCAUCGUGAUGGGGCUAGAUUAUUGCAAUUAUUAAUCUUCAACGAGGAAUGCCUAGUAAGCGUGAUUCAUCAAAUCGCGUUGAUUACGUCCCUGCCCUUUGUACACACCGCCCGUCGCUCCUACCGAUUGGGUGUGCUGGUGAAAUGUUCGGAUCGGCCGUUUGUCGCGGUUUCCGCGGCUCGUGGCUGAGAAGUUCAUUAAACCCUCCCACCUAGAGGAAGGAGAAGUCGUAACA
rnacentral:rRNA from 1 species